UUAGAGGAAGUAAAAGUCGUAACAAGGUUUCCGUAGGUGAACCUGCGGAAGGAUCAUUAAUGAAUUUAUAAUCCGGCGAGACGAAGGACGAGGACUGUCGCUGGCCUUCAACCGAGGCAUGUGCACGCUCUCUUCUGGACUUUCGCCGUAUGGGCGCGGGGCGACCCGCGUCUUCAUAUACCUCUUCGUGUAGAAAGUCUUCGAAUGUUUUUACCAUCAUCGAGUCGCGACUUCUAGGAGACGCGAUUCUUUGAGACAAAAGUUAUCACAACUUUCAGCAAUGGAUCUCUUGGCUCUCGCAUCGAUGAAGAACGCAGCGAAUCGCGAUAUGUAAUGUGAAUUGCAGAUCUACAGUGAAUCAUCGAAUCUUUGAACGCACCUUGCGCUCCUCGGUGUUCCGAGGAGCAUGCCUGUUUGAGCGUCAGUAAAUUCUCAACCCCUCUCGAUUUGCUUCGAGUGGGGCUUGGAUAGUGGGGGCUGCCGGAGACCUGAAAUUCAUUUCGGGACUCGGGCUCCUCUGAAAUGCAUCGGCUUGCGGUCGACUUUCGACUUUGCGCGACAAAGCUUUCGGCGUGAUAAUGAUCGCCGUUCGCUGAAGCGCAUCAAUGAACGGUCCCGUGCCUCUAAUCAGUCGACGCCUUCCGGGCGUCUUCCUUAUAGACGUUUGACCUCAAAUCAGGUAGGACUACCCGCUGAACUUAAGCAUAUCAAUAA
rnacentral:rRNA from 1 species